GACAGCGGGGAGGCCAGCAUGGGGCUGAUCCAGAACCCCUGAAUAACAUGGUUCAGGAACGGACUUGCGUGAGAUUUCUGAGUGCUUGGAAGAAAACUCCCAAGAAACGAAGACAAAGAGUCUUGUGACAUCAUUUUCUUCAAAAGAAUGGAUUUGUUCUUGCAUAAUACUUUCAUAAUCUUCCCAGAUAUAGCAGAUAGCAGUGAGUUUCCUUCUGACUAUUCGUUACAGCUAUCUACUGUUAUCUGUUAAUAUGCCUCAGUGGAAUAAUGCGUCUGCCACAUACAGCUUGCCCUUGUGAUUGCAUACUUUACUCAGGUGAUCUUUCUUAACUCUUAGAGUGUGAAUUGUCUGAUGCUCUGAAUAAAGUUGGCUAUUGCAUGA